rnacentral:rRNA from 1 species
ACGGCUCAGUAACACGUGGACAACCUGCCCUUAGGUUGGGUAUAAACCCGGGAAACUGGGUAUAAUACCCGAUAGGUCUCGAUUGCUGGAAUGCAUCGAGAUUUAAAGCUCCGGCGCCUAAGGAUGGGUCUGCGGCCUAUCAGGUAGUAGUGGGUGUAGCGUACCUACUAGCCUACGACGGGUACGGGUUGUGAGAGCAAGAGCCCGGAGAUGGAUUCUGAGACACGAAUCCAGGCCCUACGGGGUGCAGCAGGCGCGAAAACUUUACAAUGCUGGCAACAGCGAUAAGGGAACCUCGAGUGCCAGGUUACAAAUCUGGCUGUCGAGAUGCCUAAAAAGCAUUUCAUAGCAAGGGCCGGGCAAGACCGGUGCCAGCCGCCGCGGUAACACCGGCGGCUCGAGUGGUAACCGUUAUUAUUGGGUCUAAAGGGUCUGUAGCCGGCCGGAUAAGUCUCUUGAGAAAUCUGGCAGCUUAACUGUCAGGCUUUCAGGAGAUACUGUCUGGCUCGAGGCCGGGAGAGGUGAGAGGUACUUCAGGGGUAGGGGUGAAAUCUUGUAAUCCUUGAAGGACCACCAGUGGCGAAGGCGUCUCACCAGAACGGAUCUGGCGGCAAGGGACGAAAGCUAGGGGCACGAACCGGAUUAGAUACCCGGGUAGUCCUAGCCGUAAACGAUACUCGCUAGGUGUCGGCCACGGUGCGACCGUUGUCGGUGCCGUAGGGAAGCCGUGAAGCGAGCCACCUGGGAAGUACGGCCGCAAGGCUGAAACUUAAAGGAAUUGGCGGGGGAGCAC